CCUACGGGAGGCAGCAGUGGGGAAUAUUGCACAAUGGGCGCAAGCCUGAUGCAGCGACGCCGCGUGAGGGAUGACGGCCUUCGGGUUGUAAACCUCUUUCAGUAGGGAAGAAGCGAAAGUGACGGUACCUGCAGAAGAAGCGCCGGCUAACUACGUGCCAGCAGCCGCGGUAAUACGUAGGGCGCAAGCGUUAUCCGGAAUUAUUGGGCGUAAAGAGCUCGUAGGCGGUUUGUCGCGUCUGCCGUGAAAGUCCGGGGCUCAACUCCGGAUCUGCGGUGGGUACGGGCAGACUAGAGUGAUGUAGGGGAGACUGGAAUUCCUGGUGUAGCGGUGAAAUGCGCAGAUAUCAGGAGGAACACCGAUGGCGAAGGCAGGUCUCUGGGCAUUAACUGACGCUGAGGAGCGAAAGCAUGGGGAGCGAACAGGAUUAGAUACCCUGGUAGUCCAUGCCGUAAACGUUGGGCACUAGGUGUGGGGGACGAUUCCACGUUUUCCGCGCCGUAGCUAACGCAUUAAGUGCCCCGCCUGGGGAGUACGGCCGCAAGGCUAAAACUCAAAGGAAUUGACGG
rnacentral:rRNA from 1 species